rnacentral:rRNA from 1 species
GAUGAACGCUAGCUACAGGCUUAACACAUGCAAGUCGAGGGGAAACGACAUCGAAAGCUUGCUUUUGAUGGGCGUCGACCGGCGCACGGGUGAGUAACGCGUAUCCAACCUGCCCACCACUUGGGGAUAACCUUGCGAAAGUAAGACUAAUACCCGAUGAUAUCUCUAGACGACAUCUGAAAGGGAUUAAAGAUUUAUCGGUGAUGGAUGGGGAUGCGUCUGAUUAGCUUGUUGGCGGGGUAACGGCCCACCAAGGCGACGAUCAGUAGGGGUUCUGAGAGGAAGGUCCCCCACAUUGGAACUGAGACACGGUCCAAACUCCUACGGGAGGCAGCAGUGAGGAAUAUUGGUCAAUGGGCGAGAGCCUGAACCAGCCAAGUAGCGUGCAGGAUGACGGCCCUAUGGGUUGUAAACUGCUUUUAUAAGGGAAUAAAGUUAGUCUCGUGAGACUUUUUGCAUGUACCUUAUGAAUAAGGACCGGCUAAUUCCGUG